rnacentral:lncRNA from 1 species
AUGGUUUGGUGUAAGUACAGCAAUUCUCGCCUCUUUCUCUCCUUUUUAAGUCUCUUGAGCUUGGAGAUCUCUUUCCUCGUUGCAAUUAUGAUUAUUUGCAACAUCAGUGCCAUCAAAGAUUGGAGCACUUUCCUCUCCCAGAUCCUCCCCAGUGUUAACAAGACUCUGAACUUGGUACAGCAAGUGGAAGCCACCACCAGCUCGGUGGUAAGUGUCCUCCAGGACCCUGAGCAGGACAACUACCUGUCCAAUAGCCAGUCCAUGAACUCCAGCAACUUCACAGCUGGCCUGGACCACUUGUUCCAAUACUCAUACUCGGACAAUGACCAGCUCUACAAGGAGUACAAACCCCCUCCUCGAGAUGCCAUUCCUCUGCCCAAGGCUGUCCUCUACCUUCUCAUGGCAGCCCUGGUGGUGGUGGCAGUGGCGUACGCCAUCGUCGGGCAUCUCAUCAAAGACCUCAUUUACGACUUUGUAGACUGGAUCUUUGGCCCCAACCCGGACGACAACAGCAACAAGAGCGACAUCAACUGCAUCAGCAACAGCGUCAAUGAGAUGAGCGAGAUGCCCGAGGCGCCGCGGCACCGGGACCGGCAGCCCCAGGACGUGGUCAUUGCCAUCGGCGAGACUUGCCACCUGCCACAGCAGACGUGACCGGCGCGACGUCCGGGCCAGGCGGGAUGGAGCAGCGGGAUGGAGCAGCAGGAUGGAGAGCAGGAAUGGAGCAGAGGGAUGGAGCGGAGGGAUGGAGCAGUGGAACACUGCAGCAGCCACCUUGCAGGACCGGGCACUGAGAGGAAGGGAUGAGCAGAGCCGGCACUGCGGAGCAAAGCCCUUCUCCCGCUGGCUUUGCCUCUAAGGACCUUGCUGGGGUGGGUGGCAUUGCCCCUUCUCCCAGGCUUGUCAGCCCUGUCCUGACAUCUGCCCGUGGGUUUGUGACCCCUUCUUUGUUCCCUGUGAAUAGCAAAAAAGAAAAAGCAAAUGCAAAAUACACCCACCAAGCAAAGCUUGCAAGAGAAAUGAGCUGGAGAGAAGCCGGGCGGUCCUUUGGCAUGUGGCUGUCCAGCGGCAUGGGAAUGGGGUGGUGAAAAGGGCAAAGGAGACAAGGAGGCGACAGAGAAAUGGGGGUAUCUGUGUUUCUGGGGACAGGUCCAGGACACAGCAGGGAGCUGGGGACUGCAGAAAGACACAGAAAGGUCAGUAGGGGCCAAAUCCAGACCUGUAGUUUGGUGACCUGCCUGGGUCAUCACUCCUCUCCUUAGUUUUGCAGCUCCAGCUCACAGCCUAUUUGCACAGCAGGUGCAUCAUUCCUUGGUCCUAGUGCCUCUUCCUGAUGAAGAUCCCUUUGCUCUCCACAUCUUUCCUGAAC